CAUUCACGAGUCUACCUUGGCCGAGAGGCCUGGGCAACCUUUUAAACGUGCAUCGUGAUAGGGAUAGAUUAUUGCAAUUAUUAAUCUUGAACGAGGAAUUCCUAGUAAACGCAAAUCAUCAAUUUGCAUUGAUUACGU
rnacentral:rRNA from 1 species